rnacentral:rRNA from 1 species
GAUGAACGCUGGCGGCGUGCCUAAUACAUGCAAGUCGAGCGAACAGAUGAGGAGCUUGCUCCUUUGACGUUAGCGGCGGACGGGUGAGUAACACGUAGGUAACCUACCUAUAAGACUGGGAUAACUUCGGGAAACCGGAGCUAAUACCGGAUAAUAUUUCGAACUGCAUGGUUCGAUAGUGAAAGAUGGCUUUGCUAUCACUUAUAGAUGGACCUGCGCCGUAUUAGCUAGUUGGUAAGGUACGGCUUACCAAGGCAACGAUACGUAGCCGACCUGAGAGGGUGAUCGGCCACACUGGAACUGAGACACGGUCCAGACUCCUACGGGAGGCAGCAGUAGGGAAUCUUCCGCAAUGGGCGAAAGCCUGACGGAGCAACGCCGCGUGAGUGAUGAAGGUCUUCGGAUCGUAAAACUCUGUUAUUAGGGAAGAACAAACGUGUAAGUAACUGUGCACGUCUUGACGGUACCUAAUCAGAAAGCCACGGCUAACUACGUG